AGCUCAGCUGGGAGAGCACCUCCCUUACAAGGAGGGGGUCACUGGUUCGAGCCCAGACCACCA
rnacentral:tRNA from 17 species